CGCGCCCACAAACCACAAUCCGCCCGCGCGAGCAGUGCACUCUGUCUCUCUCUCUGAUUCUCUCUCUCUCUCUAGAAGUCUCCAUGUGUUCAGCACCAUGAAUUCGAGCACUUCAAAUCCGCAAUCCAUGGCCAACUCAACACCAAACGACGUCUCAGGCAAGAAGGUGAGGAAGCCUUACACCAUAACCAAGUCCAGAGAGAGCUGGACCGAAGAAGAGCACGAUAAAUUCCUUGAAGCUCUUCAACUGUUUGAUCGCGACUGGAAGAAAAUUGAAGACUUUGUUGGUUCUAAGACAGUGAUUCAGAUUCGGAGUCAUGCCCAGAAAUACUUUUUGAAGGUCCAGAAGAAUGGGACAACAGCACAUGUGCCCCCACCUCGCCCUAAGCGCAAGGCUGCUCAUCCUUACCCGCAGAAGGAAUCGAAAAAUGUUUUAGUGCCUCUACAAGUAUCCAUGGCUUAUCCUUCUUCAUUGAAUUCUCUUGCACCUGGAUACCCUCCAUGGGAUGAGACUUCCAUGCUUAUAAACACUCCUUCAAGUGGGAUCAUGUCGUCCCAAGAGGAAUACAAUCUGCAAGGAGUUGAAGCUGAUAUUGGAUCGAAGGGGGUAGCGAGGAUUAGUAACUGCAGUGUUAAUGGUAUUGGAAGCUCGAGCAGAACAGUACUAAGUUCUGAGUUACCAAAGCAAGGGAAACAGGAUUCUUUGCUUCAUGGUAUACCGGAUUUCGCUGAAGUAUAUAGCUUCAUUGGUAGUGUGUUUGAUCCUGAAACCAAGGGCCAUGUGCAAAAGCUCAAGGAGAUGGAUCCCAUUAACUUUGAAACUGUUUUGUUGCUGAUGAGAAACCUUACUGUCAACUUGUCUAGCCCUGAUUUUGAGCCAAUUAAAAAGGUCCUGUCGUCGUAUGAUAUCAAUACUAGAACUGUUGGAGUUGCUGCAGGAUGUGUAGAAAAGAACCAGGACAACCAUUUAUUAUGUUGAAUUGUUGAACUGCUUAUAAUCUGCUGUAUAGUAUGUGUUUUCUUUGAUGGUUAUUUUUCUUGUGGGGGGUCACUCUGCAGGCUGAGGACUGGAAAUUCGUGGAUGUAGUGAUGCAGCCACUUCUGGAGAAUUCCAGAGCAUCGUGAGAAGAAAGUAUAACAUCCUCUGAUUUUCAAGCCUUCAAGGAUUUCAAUGUCCAGAGGCUGAAUGGAAGUGUUUCUAUCUAUUCUACUGAUACAGGUGGUCAGCAGAUGAUAUAUGUCAAAUAUAUAUAUUUUUUGGCAAAUGUGUAAUGAAAAAUAAAGUUAGUGCCAUUUUCAGUUUUGUGGAUGGUAUGUUUCCAAGGUGUAGUUAUAUGACUUUGAAUAAUGACAGUUGAGAAUAGAGACAGUUGAUAUAAAAAAUUAAUGCUUGAUUA